GCCGGGCGUGGUGGCUCACGCCUGUAAUCCCAGCACUUUGGGAGGCUGAGGCGGGAGGAUCACCUGAGGUCAGGAGUUUGAGACCAGCCUGGCCAACAUGGUGAAACCCCGUCUCUA
rnacentral:SRP_RNA from 1 species